UUCAUCCUCCAAACCCUAGCCUCCUCGGAUCUCUCCCAUUUAGGAUAUUUUCUCAAAACCCUCGUCGUCCUACUUUCUAUUUUUCUCCUGAUUUGUUUCUCUUGUAGACUCUAUCUAGCUCCACUUUCCAGUUUUCGUCUGCCAAGUAUGGGGGAAGCCAAGGAUAAUGAUGUUUACGAGAAGGAGCUCCUGGACUACGAAGAGGAGGAAGAGAAAGCUCCGGAUUCGGUCGCUGCCAAGGUUUCUGG